CCUUGACGACAAAGAUUGCUAGAAAUUCUUCAACAUUAACCUCAAUUUCAGGUUCUGGUUUUCUGUUUGGAGGUUUCUUCUCUUGUUGCUCUUCGGAAGAUGAAGGUAGAGUGUUUGGUAUGCCCCAACUCUUCUCAAUUCGAGUCAACCGAGUAUUCAGGUUCAUCGACUCACGUAUUUGAUUCAUUUGUUCGUGUUUGUGCUGUUGCUCCAUUCCAUCACUCGAUCAGUCGAGGACUUCGAUGAAUGCGCAAUCUGUUGUAAAAUAACAAAGUUGCUUCCUUGUGGUACAAAACUAUUCUCGUUUCCAGCCAUGCUCUGAUAUCAAUUUGAUGGCAUCCUAAAGGGCUGGCAUGCCAAGAUCGAGGGUUGGUAGAGAAUAAAGAUAGGUGCAACUGUGCAAAUAGUAGAUAAUCUCAGCAAGCUAGAGUCCCACUAGUGCCCCGCUGUAGGAGUCUCACCUAAGCCCACUUGAGUCACA